ACGGGAGGCAGCAGUGAGGAAUAUUGGGCAAUGGAGGAAACUCUGACCCAGCCAUGCCGCGUGAGUGAAGAAGGUUUUCGAAUUGUAAAGCUCUUUCGGAUGUGACGAUGAUGACGGUAACAUCUAAAGAAGCCCCGGCAAACUUCGUGCCAGCAGCCGCGGUAAUACGAAGGGGGCGAGCGUUGUUCGGAAUUACUGGGCGUAAAGGGUGUGUAGGCGGAGACGUAAGAUAGCGGUGAAAUACCUGAGCUUAACUUGGGAAUUGCCGUUAUAACUAUGGCUCUAGAGUGAUAGAGAGGAUAUUGGAAUACCCAGUGUAGAGGUGAAAUUCGUAGAUAUUGGGUAGAACACCAGAGGCGAAGGCGAGUAUCUGGCUAUCAACUGACGCUGAGGCACGAAAGCAUGGGGAUCAAACAGGAUUAGAUACCCUGGUA
rnacentral:rRNA from 2 species